CCCUCACACUCUCCUCUACCUCUCCCCCACGAAAAUGCUGCUGCCCCUUGCUCCCAUGGCCGGCCAUGGCCAUGGAAGGCACUCCAAGAUGAAGCUCCCUCCUCCCUCAAGCUCCUCCUCACCAUGAGGGCCUCCCUCUCCUUCUUCUCCCCAACCCUAGAUGGUUUUCUCUCCUCUUCCUCUUCCUCCAUUGCUAAGAUUGGAUCUUGAUGCAGGUGCAUGUUGGUCCAAGCAUGGAGAAGCUUGAGCUAUCCUCAGAUCUGAAGUUCUUGAGCAAAAUCCAAAUCGAGUGAUUCAAAGUUCCGCAGAUAGAUACGGAAAAGAUCUACAACUUGGCGUUGGUCUCAUCCUCAAAUUCGUUACGGAUUGUCCGUGGUGAAAGCCCUCUUCAAUACCUUCAUUUUGUCUGUGGUUUCACUUCGAUUGACCUCCUGAAACUGAAAUGGUUCACAGGUCAAGAUCUGGUCAGAUCUGACUUUGUCGAAUUAAACCAGGAGCUUGGGAACGAAUCUUUGAGUGAAACAAAUUGGGGGAUGUUUGGUUUAUACCAUGGUGAUAACCGAGAGAGGCAAUUGCUAAGUUGUGAUACUCUCAUACCUUUACUAG